GGAAGGCAUUCGUAUCCGGUGGUACGGCCGGGCUUCAAACCCGGUUAGGGGCGUCAGACGCUCCUAUGUCAGUUCGACUCUGGCUGCCUUCCGCCA
rnacentral:tRNA from 1 species